rnacentral:snoRNA from 1 species
AAGUAAUGGUCAUGUGCUCGUUUCCCAUGGGAGCCCAGUGUACAAUGGCUGCAAAGAGUACCUCCUUGGCAGUGUGUGAUUACUAGCCUGUUGAUUGUAUGGGUGGCCCUAAGGGACCUUCAAGACAUCU